AUGAGUUGGGUGAGAAGAACCAAGAAAGUGAAUGAAUAUGUACAGACAAAAAAAGUCUGCAAAGAAAGAAAGAAAAACAGUGUAUUUAUGAACAAUGAAUGUUGGCUACUGGAGCGUUUCAAUAUCAGUUACAAUGAAUGUUGGCUACUGGAGCGUUUCAAUAUCAGUUACAAUGAAUGUUGGCUACUGGAGCGUUUCAAUAUCAGUUACAAUGAAUGUUGGCUACUGGAGCGUUUCAAUAUCAGUUACAAUGAAUGUUGGCUACUGGAGCGUUUCAAUAUCAGUUACAAUGAAUGUUGGCUACUGGAGCGUUUCAAUAUCAGUUACAAUGAAUGUUGGCUACUGGAGCGUUUCAAUAUCAGUUACAAUGAAUGUUGGCUACUGGAGCAUUUCAAUAUCAGUUACAAUGAAUGUUGGCUACUGGAGCGUUUCAAUAUCAGUUACAAUGAAUGUUGGCUACUGGAGCGUUUCAAUAUCAGUUACAAUGAAUGUUGGCUACUGGAGCGUUUCAAUAUCAGUUACAAUGAAUGUUGGCUACUGGAGCGUUUCAAUAUCAGUUACAAUGAAUGUUGGCUACUGGAGCGUUUCAAUAUCAGUUACAAUGAAUGUUGGCUACUGGAGCGUUUCAAUAUCAGUUACAAUGAAUGUUGGCUAGUGGAGCGUUUCAAUAUCAGUUACAAUGAAUGUUGGCUACUGGAGCGUUUCAAUAUCAGUUACAAUGAAUGUUGGCUACUGGAGCGUUUCAAUAUCAGUUACAAUGAAUGUUGGCUACUGGAGCGUUUCAAUAUCAGUUACAAUGAAUGUUGGCUACUGGAGCGUUUCAAUAUCAGUUACAAUGAAUGUUGGCUACUGGAGCGUUUCAAUAUCAGUUACAAUGAAUGUUGGCUACUGGAGCGUUUCAAUAUCAGUUACAAUGAAUGUUGGCUACUGGAGCGUUUCAAUGUCAGUUACAAUGAAUGUUGGCUACUGGAGCGUUUCAAUAUCAGUUACAAUGAAUGUUGGCUACUGGAGCGUUUCAAUAUCAGUUACAAUGAAUGUUGGCUACUGGAGCGUUUCAAUGUCAGUUACAAUGAAUGUUAG
rnacentral:lncRNA from 13 species